AGAUGGACCCGACCCAUGACCCACCACCGCAUGAUCCUAUCCGUUCCCUUGACUAUAAAUAUUUUACAUUUCAAACUCAAAAACUAAAAAAAGGAGAAAGAAAUAAUGGUGGCUUUGCGGUUAAAUCUUGGCGUGCCAACAACGUCCACCUUUUAUCACCUGAAAAACUCUAAGUCGCCGCCGCCGUUUCCGGCGAGGCUGAGGGCAGCGAAUAAGAAGAAACCUGAGAUCUGUACAGCGGAUGAGUUACACUACGUUCCUGUCUCUACUUCCGAUUGGAAACUGGCUCUCUGGCGUUACCUUCCUUCUCCGACUAGGAAAAGGAAUCAUCCACUUCUGUUAUUAUCAGGAGUUGGUACUAAUGCUAUUGGAUAUGAUCUCUCUCCUGAGUCCUCCUUCGCACGCUUCAUGUCUGGCCAAGGAUUUGAUACUUGGAUUCUUGAACUUCGAGGAGCCGGUUUGAGUGUAUUGAAUAUGGAAUAUGGUGAAGAUACAGAAGCAGUUUCUAAAACUGACAGAUUGAAAUCCAAGUUGUUGGGAACUUUUAUCCGUUUAUUUGGAACUCUUUCUGGCCCUUUUUUUGAAGAUAAUUAUUCAGGGGAAAACUUUACUGUCGCAAAACAAAUUAAGGAAUUUCGUCAGAAGUUUCUUAAUAUUAUUGAAGAGGGCCAGCAUUCUUCUAAAUCACAGUUUUUUGACUUUCAAGACCGUUUUUCUAAUACACUGGAGGAUUUCCUCAAACAAGUUGACUUGAUUUUGAAGUAUGAUUGGGAUUUUGAUCAUUACCUUGAAGAGGAUUUGCCUGCUGCGAUGGAGUACAUAAGGACUCAAUGUUGUCCAAAAGAUGGCAAGCUGCUUGCAGUUGGUCACUCCAUGGGAGGCAUCUUGCUGUAUGCUAUGCUAUCAAAAUUCUGUUUUGAAGGAAGGGAUCCCGGAUUGACAUCAGUGACCACUUUAGCUUCAUCACUUGACUACACCCCUUCAAAAUCAUCACUAAAGCUGCUCUUGCCGGUGGCAGACCCUGCAAAGACUUUUAAUGUUCCUAUUAUUCCAAUUGGAGCAUUGCUGGCUGCUGCUCAUCCUUUUGCAUCUCGUCCUCCUUACAUCUUAUCUUGGUUAAAUCCUCAAAUCUCUGCUCCAGGCAUGAUGCACCCAAAAUUGUUUGACAAGCUUGUUAUGAACAACUUCUGCUCAGUUCCUGCUAAGCUUCUCUUGCAGCUGACAACAGCAUUUGAAGAGGGUGGAUUAAGAAACCGAAAUGGAUCUUUCUUCUAUAAGGAUCAUCUAGGCAAAAGCAAUGUUCCUGUGUUGGCAAUAGCUGGUGAUCAAGAUCUUAUUUGUCCACCAGAAGCUGUAUACGAAACCGUAAAGGUCAUCCCUGAGCAUUUAGUUACUUACCAAGUUUUCGGAGAGCCCAGGGGUCCUCAUUAUGCACACUACGACCUUGUGGGAGGCCAUCUGGCCGCACAUCAAGUGUAUCCAUGCAUAAUCAACUUCCUCAAUCGUCACGACGCAUGACUAAUUUCCUCCAGAUAUUCUUUGAAAUCUUUUCUUCAAUAGCAAUUAAUUCUUAAUAUCUUAAUAUCUUCAACUCCAAGCAAGGAUCCGCUUCUUGUUCCUAGUCAUUGCAUAUUGGCAUGGAGCAAAGGACAGAGGUCAGAGGCGGAAUCAGUUGAUGAGAUUGUGGAUGAGGUUAGCAACAGAUUACGUCAAUUAAGCGAUUCUCAAAGUGGGAAUAACUUUGAAAGUGAUGGUUUCUCGUGUCCAAGAAGUGGAAUCAUUAUUAAAGGUUGAGUCGAGAGAUGAUGUACGCAUAGUAGGAAUUUGGGGGAUGGGCGGGGAUCGGUAAAUCAACUAUUGCCGAAAUAGUGUUCAAUAAAAUCAAGGACAGCUUUGCUGCUCA